GAAUUUUAGGAUAAUCAAUUCGAAUUUCUGUUACAGUUGUUAUUUGUAAACUGAGUAGAAUAGUUUUUAUUAUUUGAUAUUUGGCACCAACUGCAACAUGUACACUUGUUGAAUAAAGAGUGAAUGGUACGAGUAAUUGGUUGUUGUCAAGGCGUUGGCAUUGUAGCCAACUCUUGGCUCGUGGCAUGUGAAAUGACAUGACUGCCCCAGCGUGAUGAUGAUGAUGAUGAUGAUUGAACACGUUACCAGCUAGCUGGCUCAUAUUUCUCACAGCUUGUGUGUCAUAGUGUGUAUGUGAGAAAUGUAAACAGCAGGCUUUGAGAUUGGAGCAAGUCAACAGUUAAGAUUGCCGGCUGUCCGCAGGACUCAUGACUGCCCAUAGUCAACUUAUGGAUGCACGUGCCUUACAAGAGACGAUCGACUGAGCUGCGAACUGGGACUGGAUGUGAGACUGGGACAGAGUUUGAUAGCAGCCAGCUGCUGGUAAUGAAAUUUGGAACGCCUUGGCCGUGAAGUGAGCGUAGCUGUUAUAAUUACGCAAGCCAUUAGCCAAGUUGCCAGAGCCAAAAGCAGUUGCGUUAAAUUUCAUUUGCCCGUUCUGCUAAAAUAUUGUUCAACGUGCCGGCAACUCAGCUUCUGCUGCUGUUCUUGCCUCUCACUCUUCGUCAACUCGUAGCGAAAAGCGAACAAUGCAAAAAUAUCAGGCGGAAUACUAUCAGAAAUUAUCGCAUGCGAUUUACAGCCACGUCGCAGCCGGAACCGGACGAGCUGCGAAAGAUUUAUCCCCGUUACUGCUAUCGACCACCACAGGCCGACAAGUCCUCAAUUUAAGCCUACGAGAAGUACAUGACAGAAACUAGAAAUAUUUUCUUAUUGAGUAAAUGAAAGGAGACUUGAUUGGCAGAGAUUUAAAUAAGUAAGCAUGCACGAGUCGCGAGACCUCGACUUGGUAAUACCCUAAA
rnacentral:sRNA from 1 species